rnacentral:piRNA from 1 species
UUCAGAAUUGGUUGAGAACUCUAUCAUUUC